UAUGCUUUCUAAAUGUAUUUGCAUAUUCCGCGGUUCCAAGCCGAACAUUCUCUAUUAUUUUUGCUGCCGACGGGUGACGGGCGACCGCAUGGGCGACGGGCGAGGAGAACGAAAGCGUAACUUUGAUUAAAUUAGGAAGCAAAGUUUAAAUAUGAAGAACAAACAAGUUGCUGUACAUAUUGAGAAUGUCACACAUGGAAAGUCCUUGUGGUCCAAUCUUAGCGAUUUUAUUCAAGUUUUUCUUCAUUUCGAAUAAUUGAGUUCAGACAGCGAAGAGUUCAGAGAAAAUUUCCGCGAAAUGAAGAAGCAGAUGAAAUAACUGCAGAUUUAAUACCUGAAUUUCCACUGACAUCCGUAGAGGAAUAUCUCCAAUUUAACGACGUAUUGAAGAACGAUGAAGCACUUCGUAAAUGUUUUAUGGAGAUCCACUCUCCUGUUUAAAUAGAUGGAGGUCCACUCUCGGUGUGCGAGGGAGAGAGCACGACUUUCGGACUAUCUCUGUCCUUUAGUUCGUGCUUCAGCUGACUCCUAAGAACGCGCAAUCUAUUAUAUAUAUCUAUGUCGUAUAUACAUAGCCACUGACGAGGUACUGUUAAAGACCGUCGGCCCUGGGUAAAUUUCUGUCUCUACCAAGUGGACCCGGUGAGCCCGGCAUCGGUCAAUAAUCAUAACAAUAAAAUUAAUAAGAACAUUUUACAAAUAAUAAU